rnacentral:rRNA from 1 species
CCUACGGGAGGCCGCAGAAAAAAAUUUAACGCAGUAGGAGAGGAACUACCGCAGCAACGGCGCGUGAUCGAUGAAGCCCUUCGGGGUGUAAAGAUCUGUCAGUGGGGACGAAACCUGACGGUACCCACAGAGGAAGCACCGGCUAACUCCGUGCCAGCAGCCGCGGUAAUACGGGGGGUGCAAGCGUUGUCCGGAAUCAUUGGGCGUAAAGGGUUCGUAGGUGGCACGUUAAGUCUGGUGUUAAAGGCGGAAGCUCAACUUCCGUAGGGCACUGGAUACUGGCGAGCUUGAAUGCGGUAGAGGUAAAGGGAAUUCCUGGUGUAGCGGUGAAAUGCGUAGAUAUCAGGAGGAACAUCGGUGGCGUAAGCGCUUUACUGGGCCGUAAUUGACACUGAGGAACGAAAGCCGGGGUAGCAAAUGGGAUUAGAUACCCCUGUAGUC